GAACGAACGCUGGCGGUAUGCCUAACACAUGCAAGUCGAACGAGACCUUCGGGUCUAGUGGCGCACGGGUGCGUAACGCGUGGGAACCUGCCUUUAGGUUCGGAAUAACUCAGAGAAAUUUGAGCUAAUACCGGAUAAUGUCUUCGGACCAAGGAUUUAUCGCCUUUAGAUGGGCCCGCGUUGGAUUAGCUAGUUGGUGGGGUAAAGGCCUACCAAGGCGACGAUCCAUAGCUGGUCUGAGAGGAUGAUCAGCCACACUGGGACUGAGACACGGCCCAGACUCCUACGGGAGGCAGCAGUGGGAAUAUUGGACAAUGGGCGAAAGCCUGAUCCAGCAAUGCCGCGUGAGUGAUGAAGGCCUUAGGGUUGUAAAGCUCUUUACCCGGGAUGAUAAUGACAGUACCGGGAGAGUAAGCUCCGGCUAACUCCGUG
rnacentral:rRNA from 1 species